rnacentral:misc_RNA from 1 species
AUAUCAUCAAUACAAAUCAACUUGAUAUGUGCUUGGAUGUUGAAGGUCUGCUGGCUUUUGCAGUUUAGCUCCUUUUAAAUGAAUUAGCAGAACUAUUUAGGACUGGCUUCAGUUUGAUAAUUAUCUUUUAUCUAUUGCUGUUGCUUGCUCCUUUUGUUCAGCUGAUAAUUGUCCUUGGACUGUCUCUUAAGACAUGAAAAUCUUA